rnacentral:rRNA from 1 species
UACGAGUGCCCCAAGCGUUAUCCGGAAUCAUUGGGCGUAAAGGGUGUGUAGGUGGCGAUGUUAGUCUUCUGUCAAAUUCUUCGGCUUAACCGGGGGUCUGCAGAGGAAACGGCAUUGCUCGAGGAUGCGAGGGGUCUAUGGAACUCAUGGAGUAGGGGUGAAAUCCGUUGAUAUCAUGGGGAACACCAAAAGCGAAGGCAAUAGACUGGCGCAUUCCUGACACUGAAACACGAAAGCGUGGGUAGCGAACGGG